UACGUAGGGUGCAAGCGUUGUCCGGAAUUAUUGGGCGUAAAGAGCUCGUAGGCGGCUUGUCGCGUCUGCUGUGAAAACCAGAGGCUCAACCUCUGGCCUGCAGUGGGUACGGGCAAGCUAGAGUGCGGUAGGGGAGAUUGGAAUUCCUGGUGUAGCGGUGGAAUGCGCAGAUAUCAGGAGGAACACCGAUGGCGAAGGCAGAUCUCUGGGCCGUAACUGACGCUGAGGAGCGAAAGCAUGGGGAGCGAACGGG
rnacentral:rRNA from 1 species